GGGUUAAGAAAAGUUAUACUAUAGCCUAUGUGCUGGGUGCAGCCUGUGUCCACCAACGCAACUUUACUUCUUAAAAAAAUAAAUUAUUGCCGUUUUAUUUGAGAUUGCCUCAUGCGCAUGCGCGGCUGUUGGGACGCUUCCCCUCAUUUUUCUGCAAUGUAUAUCGGAGAAGAGGAAAGAACAUAAUAUAAAAAUGCGUGAACAAAGUGCUUACGCUGAAUUCAAAGGAUUCAUUCGAGAUCCUUGAUAUUCUUUUAAAUAUCAAAGAAUGUCAGGGACAGCAAACCCGGAGUCGGAGGGAGUUGUCUCCAAGGUAAAAGUCAAAAAACAGAUCAAGACAAUCGUGAAGGAUUUAGAAAACGUCUUGGGAAAUUUAAAAGAUGUGGCAAAAGAGCUGAAAGAGGUGGUGCAUGAGAUAGACUCUCUGACGAGCAGCCUGCGUCUGGAGGAGGAGAUGACGGACAGCUCCAAAACAGACACACUCAACAGCAGCUCCAGCAGCACCACCACGACCACUACCGCCUCCAGCAUGGAGAAGAUCAAGCCCCGUCCAGAUGAGUGCCUGUGCCUGUGCCCGCCGCCUCCGUCGCUAAACCCAGGCGUCCUCACCGUCCUGAGGAAACCCCACCCCCCAGUCCCACCCCCCCGCCUCACUCCGCUCCGCCCGGACAACCACACCCACCCUCGCAGUCGCAGUCCCGGCAGGAAGCCCAACGGCACUCUGAUCCGUAACGGUGUGUUUCCUGGGAAACCGACGGCACUCCACAUCCUUGACUCUUGCUGCCUGCCCAGACCAAUUCCUGUGGACAACAGCAAAGCGCUGGUACCCGUCCCUUCAACCGUACCCGUGCCGCUGCCAAGGCAUGAGAAGAGCAGGUGUCUGCAGGCGUCAUCGCUGGCUUCCAGUGCCGUGGUUGCCACGGCAGCAGCCACAACCCGUGAGCGUGUACGGUUCAGCGAGACUGUGCAGUACCAUGGCUAUUGCCCAGACUGUGACCUGCAGUAUGACGUAGAUCACACGGACCUCCACCUGCACGACGAGGUCCCCCAGGAGGAGGAGCUCAGCCCCACGCACCGCUGCUGCUCCUCCUCUCCCUCACCUCCCCCACUUCCCCUGGAGAACGGGGGCCUCAGCACCAGCCACAGCUUCCCCCCGAGUGGCCUACCCCCACCUCCCUGCACCCCCCACUCCUCUCUCAAACCGCCCAAGACCAUCCUCCGAAAGUCCACCACCACCACCGUUUGACAUCUACCCUGCCUCCAUUUAGUAUGAAUAUAUAUACUUAUAAACAUGCAUCUAUUUUUCUUUUAUGAAAUAGUGGUCUAUUUUUACAAGUACUGUCUAAAUUUGAGGAAAUAAUUGAUGAUCUGACGAUCCCAAAUGAAGUGAGCUUACGGACGAAUCUCACACUGGUCCUGCAGUUCAUCUGGAUGUGUUUUGUUCUCUGCUCCUGUGCUGAGCGCCGGGGGCGCGGACGAGGAAAGACACGAGGCACAUGACUGUCCAGCCCGGGGGAACCUUCCAGUAACCGCCGCCCUGCUCCACUCAUCACCUCGAGGAAGAGGGGCGACAGAAGCAUCCCUCACGUGGGCAACACAACCCACACAUUUGGGUGGAGGAAUCCUUCCAUGUGCGUGCAAGCCCAAAGAAACGGCCGGUUCUUCCCAGAGGAUUUUUAACAUGACCUGCCUGGUGGGAAGUGUUCCACAGACGAUCUCAGCAAAAUUGUCUUAAUGAAACAUGAAUCAUGACCUUUCAUGAAGUGGCACAUCAUUGGUGGGUGAGGCUGUGCAGUGUGUGUGUGUGUGUGUGUGUGUGUGUGUGUGUGUGUGUGUGUGUGUGUGUGUGUGUCCCUCUCCCCUCUGUCCUUACGCGUUCACGUGUAUUUGAUCAGAAGGAGAGUGAGCCGCAUAAAGGCCGUGGUGUAAGAUCCUGAGAUUUCUCUCUGUAGCGUCGGUCACUUGCAGUGGCCAUCGUAGAGGGGAAGGUUUCACUUCUGCCACUAGAGGGGGUGAGAGAUCUGAUAGGAAGUGACGGGUUCUAUACAAACACACCGAGAAGCGUCUGAUGGAAAGAGGACAAAUCCUUCUCAGCAAUUUCAAACGCAGCAGGGUCUGACUAAAAACAGAGAGAGGAGAAAGAUGUUUUAAGUAUAUAUAAAUGUGAUAUAUAGAGAGAGAUUUUUCUAAAGAGAUUUUGAACAAUACAAAUAUUUUUGAUAUUUCACAAGAUGAUUUUAAAAGGUAGCUUACUACUACUUUGCAGUACUGUAAUCACAGCAGGGCAUAUAUGGAUUAUUUAUUUAUGUAUCAUUAAAAAGUACAGAUCAAGAACAAAAUAUUUAUAUGUUUCUUACGUAAGAAAAACAGGAAAAUGGGUAUAAACUAAAUGUGAAAUAAAAGAAGAAAAAUGAUGAUGCCAAAUACAUGUUUUGUGCGCAGACAAGGCAUGACCCACAGACAGAAGACAUGAUGGACUCCUCUUCAUCAUUCAUCGCUGUGGUCUCCUAUGCAUUUAACUAGAGAUGGACAGACGCUCUCUGGAAACACUCCGACUGUUUUCGCCUCUAUCCUGUUUGUCCCUUCCCUUGUAUCUGAUCUCCCUUUGUCUUAUAUGUGUGACGGUCUCCCUGUGUCUUAUACUGUAUGUGUGACG